rnacentral:rRNA from 1 species
AACGAACGCUGGCGGCAGGCCUAACACAUGCAAGUCGAACGCUCCGCAAGGAGAGUGGCAGACGGGUGAGUAACACGUGGGAAUCUUCCUAUCGGUGCGGAAUAGCUCAGGGAAACUUGAGGUAAUACCGCAUACGCCCUCAGGGGGAAAGAUUUAUCGCCGAUAGAUGAGCCCGCGUCUGAUUAGCUAGUUGGUGGGGUAAUGGCCCACCAAGGCGACGAUCAGUAGCUGGUCUGAGAGGAUGGCCAGCCACACUGGGACUGAGACACGGCCCAGACUCCUACGGGAGGCAGCAGUGGGGAAUAUUGGACAAUGGGGGCAACCCUGAUCCAGCAAUGCCGCGUGUGUGAAGAAGGUCUUCGGAUUGUAAAGCACUUUCGACGGGGACGAUGAUGACGGUACCCGUAGAAGAAGCCCCGGCUAACUUCGUGCCAGCAGCCGCCGUAAAAC